AUAUACCAUUGUGAUGUGGUUGUAUUGAUCAUAAUACUAUGAUUAAUGGACAAUAAUUUUAUUGUCCUUUUUUUUAA
rfam:Serratia proteamaculans 568, complete genome.